rnacentral:rRNA from 1 species
AUUGAACGCUGGCGGCAUGCCUUACACAUGCAAGUCGAACGGCAGCACGGGAGCAAUCCUGGUGGCGAGUGGCGAACGGGUGAGUAAAGUAUCGGAACGUGCCCAGUCGUGGGGGAUAACGUAGCGAAAGUUACGCUAAUACCGCAUACGAUCUAUGGAUGAAAGCGGGGGAUCGCAAGACCUCGCGCGAUUGGAGCGGCCGAUAUCAGAUUAGGUAGUUGGUGGGGUAAAGGCUCACCAAGCCGACAAUCUGUAGCUGGUCUGAGAGGACGACCAGCCACACUGGGACUGAGGCACGGCCCAGACUCCUACGGGAGGCAGCAGUGGGGAAUUUUGGACAAUGGGCGAAAGCCUGAUCCAGCCAUGCCGCGUGCAGGAUGAAGGCCUUCGGGUUGUAAACUGCUUUUGUACGGAACGAAAAGGUUUGGCCUAAUAAGCUGAGCUCAUGACGGUACCGUAAGAAUAAGCACCGGCUAACUACGUGCCAGCCGCCGCAGUAA